CCUACGGGGUGCACCAGUGGGGAAUAUUGCACAAUGGGCGCAAGCCUGAUGCAGCCAUGCCGCGUGUAUGAAGAAGGCCUUAGGGUUGUAAAGUACUUUCAGCUGGGAGGAAGGCGUUGAUGCUAAUAUCAUCAACGAUUGACGUUACCAACAGAAGAAGCACCGGCUAACUCCGUGCCAGCAGCCGCGGUAAUACGGAGGGUGCAAGCGUUAAUCGGAAUUACUGGGCGUAAAGCGUACGCAGGCGGUCUGUCAAGUCGGAUGUGAAAUCCCCGGGCUCAACCUGGGAACUGCAUUCGAAACUGGCAGGCUAGAGUCUUGUAGAGGGGGGUAGAAUUCCAGGUGUAGCGGUGAAAUGCGUAGAGAUCUGGAGGAAUACCGGUGGCGAAGGCGGCCCCCUGGGCAAAGACUGACGCUCAGGUGCGAAAGCGUGGGGGGCAAACAGGAUUAGAUACCCGUGUAGUC
rnacentral:rRNA from 1 species